AGGGCUACACAGAGAGGCACUUCUGGCACCCUCAGCUGCUCUUCAGCCUUUGCCGGGGGCCCACCCAGGUAGGGCAAUGCCUCCUACAGCAGUCUUGUGCCUGUCACCACUGCCCUGGGGCAGCUGAAGUGAGGAGACGUGUUUCCCUCUCCUGCUCUCCUUCUCCGUGGCUCCUGUGAUGGCUCCCUGGUCUCCCUUUGGCCCCCACCUGCUGCUCGUGCUGUUACUGCUGUGCCCACCGCUGCCCCUGAC